GAUCAUGGCUCAGGACGAACGCUGGCGGCGUGCUUAACACAUGCAAGUCGAACGGAGUGCCCUUGAAAGAGGCUUCGGCCAAUGGAUGGGAACACUUAGUGGCGGACUGGUGAGUAACGCGUGAGGAACCUGCCUUUCAGAGGGGGACAACAGUUGGAAACGACUGCUAAUACCGCAUGACACAUCGAGGGGGCAUCCCUUUGAUGUCAAAGAUUUAUCGCUGAAAGAUGG
rnacentral:rRNA from 1 species